CUGAUCUGAGUAGUGGAGAACGGCAGUGGACGAAUAGUCAGCCAUGAAUCACGCAUUCCUCGACAAUUUCAUUUUGCUUUGCUGGCCUGGACCACUCUGUACCCAUGUUCGGUGGAUCUGUGCACUGGGGUGCAUAAUGUAGCCUAAAUGGACUUUGCGGACCGGGCUCAUAUCCUUCGCGCCAAGGAAGCAUUCGCCUUCCUUUGUACGAAUCAACCGUUGGAUCGUCCACCGCACAGG
rnacentral:lncRNA from 1 species